CAUAUUAGAAGUAAAGUCAACUAUUUAAAUACAAAAAAUGACUACAGAUAAUACAACACAUUGACAAAAUUAUAUAUCUAGAUGUCUUUAGUUUCCUUAAGAAGUACCACAAGUCUGUCUUUUUUUAUUGAAGAUAUUUAUCGAAAGCUCUCAGUACUUAGAUUAAUAUUUCGUACAGGGUUAUUGCACUACAUAUAGGACGUCAGGUGGAAUAGAAAUUGCGCCCUUUUUUAUGAUAAAAAGGAAGAAAUUGACAAACGAGAAGAUAAUUAAUUUCAAUUUGUCAUGCAAAUUUGUAAGAAAAAGUGUUCUUUGUGUAAAAAUUGAAAAAGUGAAGAUUUAUUGCAGUUUUUAUUUAAAAUGUGUGUGUUAAGUGAAUUUGUGAACGACUGGAGGAGUGUUUUAAAGACUUAUUGUAAAAAUAUAUCAAGUUCAAAGUGGCGAGAAAUUGAAAAGAGGAAAGCUGUCCAUGCAAGCAACAUAGCAUAUUAAGGAGUAUUGCAAUAUACACCGUAUUCCUGAGUGGUUUCCCACUGGGUGAGUGCGAAAGCUAAUGACUAUUGUAUUUUUGCUAUAACUUAAUUACCGAUAAUGAUUAUUCCACCAUAAGUACUGAUGCAAGCGAAUUUAAUAUUCAAGACAUGGAAGUUUGGGGCUUAAAAAUCGCAGGAAAUACAAAGUGUUCCGUAAUUGGGUAUGCUGUUAAAACAACAAUAAAAUAAAUUAGAUAUUAUAUCUCCAACGGAAAGAGAUCAUAAACUUUUUGAGCAAACUACGAGCGACUUUUUGAUUUAAAGAGAAACAUUUUGCAGAUAGCAAUACGAGGAUACAAGGUCCAAAGUCAGUGCUAACCCUCCGAACAGAAUCGCUUUCAGGAACUUAAAUG